UUAACACAUGCAAGUCGAACGAUGAUCCGGUGCUUGCACCGGGGAUUAGUGGCGAACGGGUGAGUAACACGUGAGUAACCUGCCCUUGACUCUGGGAUAAGCCUGGGAAACUGGGUCUAAUACCGGAUAUGACUCCUCAUCGCAUGGUGGGGGGUGGAAAGCUUUUGUGGUUUUGGAUGGACUCGCGGCCUAUCAGCUUGUUGGUGAGGUAAUGGCUCACCAAGGCGACGACGGGUAGCCGGCCUGAGAGGGUGACCGGCCACACUGGGACUGAGACACGGCCCAGACUCCUACGGGAGGCAGCAGUGGGGAAUAUUGCACAAUGGGCGCAAGCCUGAUGCAGCGACGCCGCGUGAGGGAUGACGGCCUUCGGGUUGUAAACCUCUUUCAGUAGGGAAGAAGCGAAAGUGACGGUACCUGCAGAAGAAGCGCCGGCUAACUACGUGCCAGCAGCCGCGGUAAUACGUAGGGCGCAAGCGUUAUCCGGAAUUAUUGGGCGUAAAGAGCUCGUAGGCGGUUUGUCGCGUCUGCCGUGAAAGUCCGGGGCUCAACUCCGGAUCUGCGGUGGGUACGGGCAGACUAGAGUGAUGUAGGGGAGACUGGAAUUCCUGGUGUAGCGGUGAAAUGCGCAGAUAUCAGGAGGAACACCGAUGGCGAAGGCAGGUCUCUGGGCAUUAACUGACGCUGAGGAGCGAAAGCAUGGGGAGCGAACAGGAUUAGAUACCCUGGUAGUCCAUGCCGUAAACGUUGGGCACUAGGUGU
rnacentral:rRNA from 1 species